CAUGGCUUCCAUCUAAGAUCUGCAAGCGCGCCUUCCAGCCCUCGCUCAAACAAACCCCAAGUAGAGCAGCAGCUCCAGAGCCUGAGCGCAACCAUCUCUUCGCCCUUGGCGACCAUCGAUACGACAUGCGAAGGUUUGAGGAAGCUGGCAGACAUCUACAGCUGCAUUGAGGAGAUGAUGUGCACACCCAGCAACCAAGUCAGCCUCUGCAGGACCCUGCAAAGGGUGGCAGUGGAGGCAGAGCUAGGACGGUCCCUCGUCGUGCUCGACCUCUGCAACGCCAUGCAGGAGACCUUGAUGGAGCUGAAGAUGACUGUCCAAGAGCUCUUGUUGGUUCUCAAGAGAGGAGAGGAUGCAACUUGCCAAUUCAAGGCGUACAUCCGCCAUUUCACUUCUCGAAUCCACAUCCUGCAUCUUGCCGAAGCAAAUUGA
rnacentral:rRNA from 1 species